CACUGUCAUUUUUAUCAAUUUUUGAUGUAAUAUUUCAUUUAAACUGCUUUUGUAAUGAGUUCCUCUGUCUCAACAAAAAAUGUUAAUGUACACCGUACACAUCAGUAAUACUGACAACCAAAGUUAUAAAUAUAUAUCAACACACACAUGCACACAUACUAUUUACACGUGUUUUUUUUUUUUUGUUUUUUUUUCCAUGGCCUUUAAAGACAUUUCUGUCAAGCUUCAUAAUCUCACUUGUGUAAUGCCGUCCCACAUAUCUUCAAAUCAAGCAGGAUUAUUUACCAUGACGACGAAUAAAUCACAUUUGAGCAUCAGUACUUUUAACCAGACAACACCGAACCUGUUUAUUACAGCACUUUGUAAAGUAAAUGUACAUGAUCAUUUUAAUAUGGAGCCAAAAAAGACAGACAGCUGGCGUAACAUUUGUCAAACGUAUAACCCGUGACGUGUUUGCCUACUGUUCAUCGGUUAUUUAGCAUUUAAACAAAUAAUUUUCUUGCGGUGUUUAAGGUUUAGACUGUUUGCCAGAAGCUUGUAUACUUCCCGUUUUUUUUGUGUCCUGAUGCCGUGUGUGUAUGUGUGUCUGUACAGUUUGAGGCCAUGAUUUGACAAGUACUAACCGAAUCACUCUUACACACGUUGAGGGUAGAAGGGAGUGAGACAGGUCUGGAGGGAGACGCACCAGUGAGACAGGUCUGGAGGGAAGAGAUUAAUACGGAGGAAAGACAGCUUUGCUGCCACACACUGCACCCAUAUGUUCAUCACACAGGCCUCAGGUAGUCUCUCCCAAUUGCAGCAAGUCCUACAGGAAGACAUGGAGAGUGUGUGUGUGUGUCUCACUUUAUGACUUGUGGUCCUUUCUCAAACACAACUGUAUUUGCAUAUAUUUUUGAUGACUGUGCGUGUUCGCUCCUGUCCAGUAGCACACAGGCCCCUCUUGCGCAUUCCUCCACACUAACAUGGCGCACGCAUUGCAGCCUGUCACUUGCAGAGAUGGUAAAUCAGCUCAACUUUCCCCCACAAUAAGUGUCCCUUUGGCGUAGAAGCAGAGCUAGUAGCUCAUUCCUGACAACUCCCAACAGAGAAGCCAAUUCCGUUCCCCGCCCCCCAAUGACUGUGCUUUUUUUCUCAGCUUCAUGCAUAGUUCUUCUGUCGUCGAUGGACAUACGUUCAGUGUGUGUGUGGGUGUGUGUGAGUGUGCUUCUACUUUUUGCUUUGACAUUUUUUUUUCUUCUUUGUACCUUUUUGUUUUUCAAAACUGAGAACAAUAGAAUUGUGUACCUGUGAAUGUUUUUAAUUGAAUUUCUUUAUUCAAUGUUCCUUGCCUUUCUGCAAGUCAAAAAUGCUGUACUUAUAACAUGACACAGCGCUUAUGCAAUUGUAUAAUUAUUUUCUUCAGUUCUUUUAUUUAUUUAUUCUUUUUUUUUUUUUACUUUUCCUUAUUCUAUCAAUGUAAAUUGUCGUCAACAAUUUUGUGGAAAUGGGACGCCUUCUAUCCUUGAAGGUUCUCUGUACUUUUUGUACAAUGGUAUGGAUUUGUGGGUAGAAUUUUGGAAAUUGGUUUCUAAGUGCUUUCAAGUCUUUACUUGGCCUUAUGUACAUAUAUAUCUAUGGAAUUUCAGAAAGGUAUGUAUAGUAAUUCAAC
ensembl:lncRNA